ensembl:lncRNA
GAAAUAAAGAGAAAAAGAAAUGAUGGUGUAUAACAUAGAAAGACCUGAUUCCUGGCAGGAGUCUUCAGAUGAUGAUGUGAAAUGAACUGGAAUGGAGAUACACAGCUCUAGUGCUUAUAUAUAUAUAUACUUAUAGCAGUGCCAGGGGACAGCAGGCUGUCAUAGUCCAGGAGCACCUCGCAAAAGAAGAGGGGAAGGGUACUAUUGAGACAUGUCAGUAAAGCACAGAUUAGGAGAUAAGCAUGAUUUUUGUAUUAUGUAUGCAGUGCUGAAGCUGUACAGCUAGCAGAAGUGUGGCUAGCAGAAAUGAAAAACAUGCCAAGACUCCACUCACUUUGUUUUCCUCUGAAAUUUCUGGCACUGAAAAGAGUCAAAAUUCAGCACUUUUCCUCCAUGUUUUUGUUUGUUUGUUUUUUUGUUUAAUUAAUGUAUUUAUUACAAAACUCUUUAUCUUCUAUAUAUUUGCUUUUUUAUAGGGGCUUUUCUCAGCAUGCAGUCCCUUUAGAUUUGGGUGCGAUAACCAACCACAUCCUGCACAUUGGACUUUUGGCUUGCAUUCUUCUAUCAUCCUGCAUUGUGUCAAUCUAUAUUGGUCGUUUGUCCAUCAGAGCAGCAAAGCUAUGUAACCGUGGAGUAAUAGCAGGGUGAAAAUUCAGCCAGAUUGGAAAGACAGAGUAUGUGUGGCCUGGGACAGCAGUGGGAUUGGACUCGGUGACUCCUGAAGGCUCCUCAAGUUGCGCAUCCAUGUCUUGGAAUUACAGAAGUGCCUCUGAGAAGGUUGUCUGAAUCCACCUGCAUCACAAAUACUGAGUCUUCCUGCAGACAGGUCCCAGUUCUCCUGUGGCAGGAGAUCAUUCAAGAAGCACAACAAAGCACAAGAGGAGCAAAGUCUCCUGUUUUCAGAGCAAGAGUUCCUUUCCAUUUCCAGUCAUUCAGCAGUAGUGCUUUAAAUUAUGUCUUCAGCUUAAGGAAAAAACACCUUUCCAGGAGUAGAACAGGGAAAAGUAGGGACCAAUACAGAAGUUGAAUCCCUUGAUCAGUUUACAGGUCUCAGAAGACAAUGAGUUUACUGAGGUUAGCCACUUCCAAUUUUCUCAUUAUACUUUUAAGUCAGUAACAAACUUCAUAAUCAUUUUUCUGGGACCAGGUUUGGCCUUGAUGUUACUCUGCAUAGUUUUCAGAAAUGCACAAACCCAUUCACAAUGGAAGAAAGUGAAGCCAACAUCUGGCUUUACUGGAGGUUAUUCCUUUGGGAGGACUAGAUCUCAGAAGAGAGACAAAUGGUUGCACUACUUACCUCCUCGUUUCAGAAGGAGCAGGAACCUGAUCCAAGGUGGUAGCUGUUGUGCACAGGAUAGAGCUGCUCUUUGAAGCCAGAAGGCCUGGUUUGCCUCGUGGCAGGGGUUUGUGCUCUUCCAGGGCUGUGUAGCUGCAUUCAGUCCAGAACUGCACUUCCCCCUGACAGUCACCAGCUGAGCUGCUCUGUCUGAUUUCUAGCUCUUUCUGAAGUGCUGGGAUUGCACCAGGGAACUUCAUCAGGAAUCAGCGUUGGAUCUGUUUUAUUUCUGUACGCUUGUUGUGCCUUUCCUAUGAAUGCUGUUCAGAUGUUUGGAGACAAUAUGGUCAUGCUCCCAUAGGACACAGCUGU